CAAUAUAGGCGGUGGUCCAUGAAGUUUUCUUAUUGUUGAAACCCGUAUGCCAACCUAAGUUCGUAAACUUUUACGUCAUUUGGUCUCGGCUGAGAGCAGUCUCAUUGUCAUACCACUUUUAAUUUUAAUGAAUGGAAUGAGGUCUGAGGUAUACACCAGUGUCACAGCAGCCAGAAAUGCAACACUGAAUACAACGAACUGUACACCAAUCUCGAUUUAAUUUUGUUUGCCGUUGAAAGAAAUAUAAAACAUUUCAUAUACCCGUAAGUUCUGAGUCUCAUUCAGAAAUAUUGGACGUCACUGGCCGCAAGUGGUUGUUCAGCAAACGCUAUCUGCACAAUAAGGAAGCCAGUCGUACUCAAAGAACGGUAAUCGAAAUUUGUGUAAAGG
rnacentral:lncRNA from 1 species